rnacentral:ncRNA from 1 species
AUAAAAUAAUUAUGUUUUUGGAAAUUUAUUAUAAAUUUAUUUUACAUAUAAAUUUUAGUAUAUAAUUUUAAUUAUUUAAAUAAUAAUUAAUUUAUUUUUGUAGUAAUUAAUAUUAAAAAUUUAAGAAAUUAAGAUUUAGUAAUAUAAAAAUUAAUAACUAAUUUUGUGCCAGCAGUUGCGGUUAAACAAAAGUUAAAUUAAAUUAUUUCAGUAUAUAAUAAAUAAUUAAUUUAUUAAAAUAAAUAUUAAAUUAUUAAGUGAAAUUUUAAUUUAAUUAAAUUUUAUUUUAAAAUUAUGAUUUAAUAAAUUUUAAUAUAAACUAGGAUUAGAUACCCUAUUAUUAAAAAUUUAAUUUAUAAUACUAAAAUAGUAAAUAAUAAUUUAUUGAAACUUAAAUAAUAUGGCGGUAUUUUAGUUCAUUUAGAGGAAUCUGUCUAAUAAUUGAUAAUCCACGAAUAAAUUUACUUAAUUUAUAAUUUUGUAUAUCAUUGUUAAAAAAAUAUUUUUUAGGAAAAAUAAUAUUUAAAAAUUAUAAUAAAAAAUUAAAUCAGAUCAAGAUGCAGAAUAUAAUUAAGAAUAUGAUGGAUUACAUUAAAUAUAUUUAUAUGAAUAAUUUUAUUGUAAUAAAAAUUUGAAGGUGGAUUUAAAUGUAAUUUUAAUUAGUUUAUUAAAAUGAUUAAAAAUUAAAAUAUGUACAUAUUGCCCGUCACUUUCAUUUAAAAAUUGAAAUAAGUCGUAACAAAGUAGAGGUACUGGAAAGUGUUUCUAGAAAGA